rnacentral:tRNA from 1 species
AAAAAAUUAGUUAAACAAAUAACAUUAGUAUGUCAAACUAAAAUUAUCAACUAUUUUGAUAUUUUUUG